rnacentral:rRNA from 1 species
AUUGAACGCUGGCGGCAGGCCUAACACAUGCAAGUCGAACGAGUGGCGGACGGGUGAGUAAUGUCUGGGAAACUGCCCGCUGGAGGGGGAUAACUACUGGAAACGGUAGCUAAUACCGCAUACCAUCGGAUGUGCCCAGAUGGGAUUAGCUAGUAGGUGGGGUAACGGCUCACCUAGGCGACGAUCCCUAGCUGGUCUGUGAGGAUGACCAGCAAAGCUGAAAGUGAGACAGGGUCCAGACUCCUACGUGAGGCAGCAGGGGGGAAUAUUGAUAAUGGGCGCAAGCCUGAUGCAGCCAUGCCGCGUGUAUGAAGAAGGCCUGCGGGUUGUAAAGUACUUUCAGCGAGGAGGCGUUACUCGCAGAAGAAGCACCGGCUAACUCCGUGCCAGCAGCCGCGGUAAUUC